rnacentral:rRNA from 1 species
GUGAACGCUGGCGGCAGGCCUGACACAUGCAAGUCGAACGGCAGCACAAGAGAGCUUGCUCUCUGGGUGGCGAGUGGCGGACGGGUGAGGAAUGCAUCGGAAUCUGCCCAUUUGUGGGGGAUAACCUCGGGAAACCGGGACUAAUACCGCAUACGACCUACGGGUGAAAGCAGGGGAUCUUCGGACCUUGCGCAGAUGGAUGAGCCGAUGCCGGAUUAGCUAGUUGGAGGGGUAAAGGCCCACCAAGGCGACGAUCCGUAGCUGGUCUGAGAGGAUGAUCAGCCACACUGGGACUGAGACACGGCCCAGACUCCUACGGGAGGCAGCAGUGGGGAAUAUUGGACAAUGGGCGCAAGCCUGAUCCAGCCAUGCCGCGUGUGUGAAGAAGGCCUUCGGGUUGUAAAGCACUUUUGUUGGGAAAGAAAAGCAGCCGGUUAAUACCCGGUUGUCAUGACGGUACCCAAAGAAUAAGCACCGGCUAACUUCGUG